GACCUCCAUAGGAAACAAUGGCGGACGUUUUUUCAGGCUACUUCCGCGUUAUGGAGAGCUCAACAGUUCUUAACAGUGACAUUCGCGGAGUUUGCCUCAUUCACUUCCAUUGGAGUCUGCCUAACUUUGUCAGCGAUGCUGAAAGUGAUGUGACAAGACAUUGUCUUCAAUUAAGUGGUCCUUGACCAAGGAUGCAGAGGACAAGACGGGUGUGUAGUAUUGACUGAAAUUAUCAGAGAAGGUCAUUUUUUAUGGUUUAGGUCCAAACGAAGGGACCCGUCCAACCUCAGCAUCUCCAACACCUCCUGUCACACCUCCAGCCAAAUGUGCUACAUCUUCCUCAGUUAACCUUCUUGUACUGUAGGUGUGCAUGUCCAGCAUCCUUUGCACAUUAAUGUCUUAGUUGUACACACGGUACGGUUGUUCAGAUUUGGGAAUCUGAA